CGAUCCUACGGGGGGCAGCAGUGAGGAAUAUUGGUCAAUGGUCGGGAGACUGAACCAGCCAAGCCGCGUGAGGGAGGAAGGUACAGAGUAUCAUAAACCUCUUUUGUCAGGGAACAAAGGCGGGGACGUGUCCCCGGAUGAGUGUACCUGAAGAAAAAGCAUCGGCUAACUCCGUGCCAGCAGCCGCGGUAAUACGGAGGAUGCGAGCGUUAUCCGGAUUUAUUGGGUUUAAAGGGUGCGCAGGCGGUCUGUUAAGUCAGCGGGCAAAGCCCGGGGCGCAACCCCGGCCCGCCGUUGAAAAUGGG
rnacentral:rRNA from 1 species